rnacentral:ncRNA from 1 species
CGUUCGGACCCGGGGAGCCCGUGUGAGACGGGCUGAGAGGCCGGCUGAGUAUCCGUCGGCGACCCGUAGACCCGAUCGCGGUCAUGCGCGCGUGGGGAGGGAGAAGUGGUGGCAG